AACGAACGCUGGCGGCAUGCCUAACACAUGCAAGUCGAACGAUAUCCUUCGGGGUCUCGUGGCUCACGGGUUCGUAACGCGUGGGGAUCUGCCCUUAGGUUCGGCCUGACAGUUAGAAAUGACUGCUGAUACCGGAUGAUGACGUUACAUCCUAAGAUUUAUUGCCUGAGGAUUAGCCCACGUAGGCUUAUCGAGUUGUUGUGGUAGAGGCGCACUAAGGCUAAUAUCCUUAGCUGGUCUGAGAGGAUGAUCAGGAACACUGGGACUGAGACACGGACCAGACUCAUACGGGAGGAAGCAGGGGGGAAUAAUGGACAAUGGGCGCAAGAAGGAGCCAGCAAGGCCGUGUGAGUGAUGAAGGAGUGAGGGUUGUAAAGCUCUGUUAACCGAGAUGAUAAUGACAGUAUCGGGAGAAUAAGCCACGGCUAACUCCGUG
rnacentral:rRNA from 1 species